GUGCUUGCUCCGGCAGCACAUAUGCUGAAAUUGGAACAAUACAGAGGAAAUUAGCAUGGCCCCUGUGCAAGAUGACACACAAAUUCAUGCAGUGUUCCAUACUUUU